GGCCCCUUGGCGGAACUGGUAGACGCACGGGACUUAAAAUCCCGGGUCUUCGGACGUGCGGGUUCGAGUCCCGCAGGGGUCACCA
rnacentral:tRNA from 1 species